rnacentral:rRNA from 1 species
UACGGAGGGUGCAAGCGUUAUCCGGAUUCACUGGGUUUAAAGGGUGCGUAGGUGGGCAGUUAAGUCAGUGGUGAAAUCUCCGGGCUUAACCCGGAAACUGCCAUUGAUACUAUCUGUCUUGAAUAUCGUGGAGGUAAGCGGAAUAUGUCAUGUAGCGGUGAAAUGCUUAGAUAUGACAUAGAACACCAAUUGCGAAGGCAGCUUACUACCCGAAUAUUGACACUGAGGCACGAAAGCGUGGGGAGCGAACAGG